UUGCUGACUGCUCGCGCAUGAUUCGAUCCGUCGACGCCGACGGCGACGGCAGCGUCAAUUUCGAGGAAUUCAAGAAGAUGAUGGGCGGCGGAGGUAGGAGCUAGGUCGGUAAGGGCCGGCCAUGAGCAAACAAUGCUGCAUCUGCAUGCCUCGUUGAGGGUUUUGUUCCUCCAUGGUGCUUAAUUUAAUUUUUAAUUAAUCUCAAAGUGAAAGGCUUAGGCUCCCUGUAAUGCGAAUACUAACGAUGAUGCGGGUGAAGUGAUUAAUUAUGUAAAGCUAAUCUGCUAGUAGUAGUAGUACUACUAAUGAUGAUGGGUGUACUAAGAAAUUUGGUCUGGGAUUGUUUGCAAUGAAUUAUCACUCGUAUGAAACUCUUUGUUUUUCUGUUUGAAACUCAUGCAGAAACAAUAACUAUAUUGUAAUGGUUGUGAAAAUCGGGUCUGGAAGUUCUUGGGGACGAUGUUGAAUCUGUAUACCAUUUGUUGUACUCAAAUUAGAUGGAUCAUUAAAGUGCCCGCCCAUGUAUGGAUCCAACUGCUACUGGCCUGGGGUUCUAUCAUGUUGAUGUUCCUCUGCCAAGCGAAUCUAGUUGGCUGAAUUACAAAAAUUGUGCUGUUCUGAGAGUAAUGAAAGGUGAAGUUUCUACUUCUGAGUUGCUUGUUCAGUUAAAUGGAAUUUUCUGCAAAAACAAGGAGUGGCCCUGGCAGAUCAGAGAAUUGGAGGAGAAGAAAUUCUUGCUUAGAUUUCCUCCAUGGAAGAAUGUGGAAGACCUGAUUGAGUUCCCAGCAUUUAAUCUUUCUAAUGAUGGUGUUUCAGUUAAGAUCUGCGAGUGGGAAGGGAUGCUUGAUGAAUUUGGAGAACUGAAAGAAGCUUGGGUGGUUGCUAAUGGAAUUCCACCAAAAUGGUGUGCUUGGAAGGUUUUUGCGCAAGUUGCUGGAUGUUUUGGCAUCCUUGUGGAUGUGGAUUGGAAUGGCAUUUUCAAGAGCUUCUAUGAAACAAUCAGAAUCAAGAUAGCUUGUAGAGAUCCUUGCAAAAUUCCUUUUGAGAGACUGGUGGAGAUGAAGAAGAAACUCUACCUGUUAUUUUUCACUGUAGAGGGUUUUGAGCAAGUUGGUGAAGAAUCAGAUGGGAAUGAUGAGGAUCCUGGUCAAGAUAAUGAAGAUGGAGGAAAAGAAAAGCUGGAUGAGGAUCUGACUGAUAAGGAUUCAAUGGAAGAUAACAAAGAGGAGCCUUUUGAUGGAUUGGACAGAGCAAACUUCACAUCCACACAGAAAACUAACUCAGGUCCUAGCAAACAAGUGCAGCAGGUCUCUGUUUCUACAGAGGAGUUUCAUCCAGUAAACAUGAAUGAUGAGGUCCAUGACAACUUCUUGGAGGAAAUCAAUAAAAGUGGACAUAGAGACAAUGAGAAACCUGGGUCUGAACCAGAGUUCGGCACCCCGUGCUCAUAUCACCUGCUUCCUGAAGAUACUGAGAAAAUUCCUAUGUCUGUAUGUACAUUUGGAAUACUGCUCUGAACAGCUUAGUAAAUUUGACAUUCAGGAGACAAAUGGAGAAGAAGAAGACAUGGAAACUGAACUGCAAUGCCUUCCUGAAGAUCUGGCUAUGGCUAUUAGCUCUGUUAAAAGGUCGUUGAUUGAUUCUAUGGACAAUGCAGAAUCAGAGAAGAAGAAGAAGCUCAAUAUCAAGGAUAAAACUGCUUGGGGCCAUGUUCUAAUCAACAGACCUAGAACCAGAGAUCAUGGAAGUAUAAAGAUCACGGACAAAGCAAAUGCUUACUUGCUGAAGAACCUUGAAGUUCCUACUACUUUCAAAGGUAAAUCUUUUGUUGUCUUGAAUAAUGAAGUGCUUGCUUCUCAUACUUCUAUGGUUGGCCUGCGUGUGGGAGAUAAUAGUAAUGAAUGUGAUGAUAUCAUCACUGAUCUAGUUGCUAGGGAGAAAAUUAAGUGUCUUCAAUUCGCUGAUUCCAAUCCGGAGAUUGUUCUCCCGAACUCUAUAGACUUAGACUUUAACAAUGAUAGUUCCCCCAUUGAUACCAAGGCUGAUUUAGUUAAUAAGGACAUGGGCACUGUUGUCCUAGAGCUAGAUAGCCCUGCUAUCAUUGCCAAAAGCCAGCUUUGAGCCUUGUCAUGCCCUUUCAAGAUUAAAUGAUAGGUGCUUUUUGGAGCAUUAGGGGUCUUGGUCAACCUGGUAAAUUGCAGUGCCUGGGAGAUUUCCUUAAUGAUAACCACAUUGAUUUCGUGGGUUUCUUUGAGACCAAAAGAGAGAGGAUAGAAAGUGGGACUUUAAGUACAAUUGUUGGCAAUAAUAAUUAUGACUCGCAUGUGCUUCCUGCUAACAACUGAUGAGGACAUCAAUACCAUUGUUACACCCACAGCCCCUGCUGCUAUACAUACUAGACCAAUUACUAGAGCUCGCGCACGCCAACUAAAUUACCAGGUACUUUCAUUUCUUGGUAAUGAUUCUAAUGUUCAUGAGAAUACGAUGCUGCCUAAAUUGGAUACAUUUGUUUUGCUUACAAAUGAAGGGCCUAGCUUGGAGAAGGAUGAACAUUGGAGCAAGAACAAGCAUAGAGAUGAUGGCAUGCGCAAGGGGAACAAGAACGGAGUUACAAGUGAUGAUUUCAGGUCUUUGAAGCCACCAUAACUAGUGCAUGAAGCCUUGGACGAAAUAUACAAGAUGUCACUUCAUAAAUUUUGUCCAGAGGCUAUUAUAGGUGCUGCGUCACCUUUUUAUUGGGCCGGGCCCAUGUAAUUUCGAAAUACAUAAGUAUAGGCUAUUUUUAGAGUCCGUAUGUGUGGGGAAACAAGAGAUAGGGUUGAUUUCAGACCCCUCCACCAAGGGCCACGAAAUUCCCCCUCUCUUCCUCCAUAUAUACAGCCCUUAGGGCACCGUUUAGACUUUGGGUUUUGUUUAGAUUAAAGUUCGCCAUAGCUGCAACUUCGCGUACUUCGUUUGUGUUCAACGACCAGACAAAGGCGUCACAGAACCCCACCUUGAUCAAUAAAGCUUUCAUCUUAUAUUCGCAAUAUCCAGAUUGCAAUCUCAGUUUCUUGCUUGUUCUUCGUUUGCUCGCAGGAAACAAACCCUCGUGGUCAGGUUGAUCGUGCUCCGGCGUGGUCAAUAACCUCUCAGAGUUGGUUUAGCGAUUGCUAAGGCGCGACGUCCUCGCACGUUCGUAGUCGGAUCGUCAAAGUCGACUUCCACCAAAGCGAAAUCCAUCAUCUCAUCGAAAGACGGGACACCUUUGCCUCUAUCAAGUGGUAUCAGAUUUCCAGCUUGCUCGGUGAGAUUUUACAGUUUUUCGUAGUUUAGAUCGAGUCUAUUUUUCAUACCUAUAGUCCACGAAAAAGCCACAAAAAAAUUAGGGUUAGUUCAUCAUAUCCGAACCAAUCUGAGCCUUUGCAUAAUAUUUUUAGGGUUUUGCUUUGUUGAAUUUGCGGUUGCAUCGUCGUGUCUAGUUGCUGGUCUUAGCGUCUAGUCUUUUAGAGUUUCGAGUUCUGGUCAUAAGUUGUCACGCCGCCACCGCACCAUCAUCAUCGCCCCUGUCACCUACCACCACCGCUCCGAAUCCCUAUCCAUAUACCACCACCAAUCCGUGUCCAUAUACCACCACCGAUCCAUAUCCAUAUACUACCACCGCUACCACCACCGCUGUCAUAUACCACCACCAUAUAUCCACCACCAAUCCGAGUUCCUUGCAUAUUAGGUUUGUUUUCGAGAUUCAUCUAGUUUCCGAUUCGUGUUUCCUUGCCGGAGUAGGUUUCAGAAAAAAAAAGAGUCUGGAAACCACCCUCCGUUUAGGCCCAAAAUUUUCCAAAAACGCACUUGACAAAAAAUUUCUGGCUAUCCUAUUUUUAGGUGUUUCUAAGCGCAUUGAGACAGUUGCCGUUAUAGAAAGUUUUUUUUGACCCGUUUCCAGUUUUUGGGUCCGGGCAGUCGAAAAAAAAAUUGGUCGAAAAAAUUUCGUGCCCAUCCUGUCAGUUUGACCUGGGAAGAGUUUUGAGACACUCGCCAUUAUAGUGAUUUUUUGCAAAAAAAAAGCAGCGCAAAAAAAAGCAGCGCAAAAAAAAAGAGCAAAAAAAAAUCCAGAGUGUGCUUUUCCCUUGUUUACGUGCUGCGCCGUGAUUUUGUUAGUGUUCUAGGCUCGCGUCUCUAGCACAGUCUAGCCUAGGACCAGCACAGUACCGUCGUUGAGUGUUUAUUCAACUUUGCAUCUCUGAAUUGAUUAUUGCUGACCCUUUUUGCUACCAUAUUAUAAGCCUUCCCAGCUCCACAUACAUCUACGUCGUGCGUUUGACUCUCCCUGGUAAUCGCUCUAUCCAAGCUUUGAGAGUUUUGACUACAACGGUUGCCGAUCACCACCUGCUGCUGGGUAAGAACUGGUAAGAAUUUGAGAUUUGCUUGACGGGUUUGUGAUACACCACCACCACUUCUUAGUAGUCUGUAAGAUCAUAUUCUUGUGUGUUUCUAUUUGCUGCUAACCAUGGUAGGAUCACAAGCCUAUGAGACUGAUUGGGAGAACCUGACGAACAAACAGCUACAUGAUAAAUUUCAGCAAAUGAUGAGUGGGCAGGUGCAAGAUGUGCUAAACAGAUUUGACGAGGCCAUGGAGAAGAUAGAUGGCAUUGAGAAGACGUUCGAAACAAAGCUUGAUAGCAAGUUUAAUGAAUUGCUCACGCGUUUUCCACAACCACCGCCGGCUGCACCUAUCGCACCUCUGCAACAACAACAACAAUGCCUCCUUCCGAAUCAGUAUGGACGAGCGAAGCGUGUGCCUAUUGUGGAUGGCCAAACUUCUGGUGCUGCUGUUCCUGUUGUUGAUGCUUCCUUGGCUCCUUCUACUGCUGCUGCUGGUACCCAGGAGGAUGAUGAGUAUGCGGGCGAUUAUGAGAAUGAGGUUGAUCAAAAUCAGAACUACGUGGAGCCACCAGCACCACCACCAGCAGGUCGACCUCAGGUAUAUAUUCGUAAUGGUAGGCCUGCACCACCACCUCAGGUACGAGAUGAUGUCCAUAUUCCAAAACUGAAAUUGAAUAUUCCACCAUUUGAGGAUAGAUAUGUUCCUGAUAUAUAUCUUACUUGGGAGUUAGAAACUAAACAACGAUUUACAUGUUUACAAUAUCCUGAGGAGAGACGGGUUGCUGCUGCUGUUUGUGCUUUCACUAGUUUUGCAUGUGUAUGGUGGUCUGAACAUUGUAGAUUAUAUCCUAUUCCAACUACUUGGGCUGCUUUGAAAAUUGCUAUGCGUACGCGUUGGGUUCCACCAUAUAAUCAACGUGAAUUGCUUCAAAAAUUGCAGCGUUUACGACAAGGAAAAAAUUCUGUAGAAGAAUAUUAUCAGGAAUUACAAACUGGCAUGAUUAGAUGUGGUAUUGUUGAGGAGAAUGAAGCUAUGCUUGCACGUUUUCUGGGUGGAUUAAAUAGAGAGAUUCAGACCAUUCUAGACUAUAAGGAGUAUACUAAUAUCACUCGUUUAUUCCAUCUUGCUUGUAAAGCUGAACGUGAAGUGCAGGAUCAACAAGCAUUGGCGCGAACUAACUUUUCUGCAGGCCGACCUUCAUCAUGGACACCGCGUGCAUCUUCUACUUCAACUGUACCAACACCUCCAUCAGGUGCCACCUCCAGCCGUGAUACAAGAAAACAUGCACAACCACCAUUAUCUGCCAAGAGCGCACCUACGGGGCCUACACAGCGUUCUUAUUCUUCCAUAGCAUCAACAGGGCACACAAGUGAUAUUAUUUGUCGUCGUUGUAAGGGAGGAGGUCAUUAUGCGCGAGAAUGCAAAUCUCAGCGUGUGAUGAUUGCUACCGAGGAUGGUGGGUAUGAGUCCGCUAGUGACUAUGAUGAGGAGACUUUGGCUCUUAUUACACGUGAAGAACAUGGUGGAGAUGAUUCUGAUCAUGAGACGCAAUACAUUGCUCCUGAAGACGCUGACAGGUAUGAAUGUUUAGUUGCUCAACAUGUUUUGAGUGUGCAGGUCACACAAGCUGAGCAAAAUCAGAGGCACAAUUUGUUCCAUACCAAAGGAGUUGUGAAGGAACGUUCUGUGCGCGUCAUCAUAGACGGAGGGAGCUGCAACAACUUGGCUAGCAUGGAGAUGGUGGAGAAGCUUUCUCUCACCACAAGACCACAUCCACAUCCUUACUACAUCCAAUGGUUCAACAACAGCGGCAAGGUUAAGGUAACACGUACUGUUCGUGUGCAUUUUAGUAUGUCUACAUAUGCUGAUUAUGUUGAUUGUGAUGUGGUACCUAUGCAAGCAUGUUCCUUAUUACUUGGUAGACCAUGGCAAUUUGAUAAAAAUUCUAUACACCAUGGUAGAAACAAUCACUAUACUCUUGUUCAUAAGGAUAAAAAUAUUACUUUGCUUCCUAUGACUCCUGAUUCCAUUUUGAAAUAUGAUAUUAAUAGAGCUAAUAAAGCAAAACAGGAGAAGAAUAAGAGUGAAAAUCAGAUUGUGGCAAAAGAAUUUGAGCAACAAAUGAAGCCUAAUAAUAAACCAUCUAGUGUUGCUUCUGAAAUUAAAUUGAAAAGUGCAUGUUUAUUUGCCACCAAAUCUGAUAUUGAUGAGCUAGAUUUCAGCAAAUCUGUUUGCUAUGCUUUUGUGUGCAAAGAGGCAUUAUUUUCAUUCGAGGACGUGCCUUCCUCUUUGCCUCCUGUUGUCACUAACAUUUUGCAGGAGUUCGCUGACGUCUUUCCACAAGACGUGCCACUGGGAUUACCGCCUAUUCGAGGGAUUGAGCAUCAGAUUGACUUAAUUCCCGGUGCUUCACUACCAAACCGUGCGCCAUACCAUACCAAUCCAGAGGAGACGAAGGAGAUUAUGCGUCAAGUACAAGAGCUUCUCGACAAAGGUUAUAUACGCGAAUCCCUUAGUCCUUGUGCUGUUCCUAUUAUUCUAGUGCCGAAAAAGGAUGGUACAUCAUGUAUGUGUGUUGAUUGUAGAGGCAUUAAUAAUAUUACUAUUCGUUAUCGUCAUCCUAUUCCUAGGCUAGAUGAUAUGCUUGAUGAAUUGAGUGGCUCUACAAUAUUCUCCAAAGUUGAUUUGCAUAGUGGAUACCAUCAAAUUCGUAUGAAAUUGGGAGAUGAAUGGAAAACAACAUUUAAAACUAAGUUUGGAUUAUAUGAGUGGUUAGUCAUGCCUUUUGGGUUAACUAAUGCACCUAGUACUUUCAUGAGAUUAAUGAACGAAGUUUUACGUGCUUUCAUUGGACGAUUUGUGGUAGUUUACUUUGAUGACAUAUUGAUUCAUAGCAGAUCUUUGGAAGAACAUUUGGAACAUUUACGUGAUGUUUUUAUUGCUCUACAUGAUGCACGUUUGUUUGGUAACCUUGGGAAGUGCAUCUUUUGCACCGACCGAGUAUCUUUUCUUGGCUAUGUUGUUACUCCACAGGGAACUGAAGUUGAUAAAGCCAAGAUUGAAUCUAUUGAGAGUUGGCCGCAGCCCAAAACGAACACACAAGUGAGGAGUUUUCUUGGCCUCGCUGGAUUCUAUAGGCGUUUUGUGAGAGAUUUCAGCACCAUUGCUGCACCUCUCAAUGAGCUUACAAAGAAAGAUGUGCCUUUUCUGUGGGGUACCGCACAGGAAGAAGCCUUCACGGUAUUGAAAGAUAAGUUGACACAUGCUCCUUUACUCCAACUUCCUGAUUUCAAUAAGACUUUUGAGCUUGAAUGUGAUGCUAGUGGAAUUGGAUUAGGAGGUAUGUUAUUAUAAGAUGGCAAACCUGUUGCAUACUUUUCUGAAAAAUUGAGUGGGCCUAGUCUGAAUUAUUCUACUUAUGAUAAAGAAUUAUAUGCUCUUGUUCGGACUUUAGAAACAUGGCAACAUUAUUUAUGGCCCAAAGAAUUUGUUAUACAUUCUGAUCAUGAAUCUUUGAAACAUAUUAAAAGUCAAGCUAAACUGAAUCGUAGACAUGCUAAAUGGGUUGAAUUCAUUGAGACUUUCCCUUAUGUCAUUAAACACAAGAAGGGAAAAUAAAAUGUUAUUGCUGAUGCAUUGUCUCGUUGCUAUACUAUGCUUUCACAACUUGACUUCAAAAUAUUUGGUUUGGAGACCAUCAAAGAUCAAUAUGUGCAUGAUGCUGAUUUUAAAGAUGUAAUGCAGAAUUGUAAAGAAGGAAGAAUGUGGAACAAGUUUGUCGUUAACGAUGGAUUUGUGUUUCGUGCUAACAAGCUAUGCAUUCCAGCUAGCUCCGUUCAUCUUUUGUUGUUGCAGGAGGCGCAUGGAGGAGGAUUAAUGGGACACUUUGGCGUGAAGAAGACAGAGGAUGUACUUGCUACACAUUUCUUUUGGCCAAAGAUGAGACGGGAUGUUGAGCGUUUUAUUGCUCGCUGCACUACAUGUCAAAAAGCUAAGUCACGACUCAAUCCUCAUGGUUUAUAUAUGCCUUUGCCUGUACCUAGUGUUCCUUGGGAGGAUAUAUCUAUGGACUUUGUUUUAGGUUUACCUCGAACAAAGAAGGGGAGGGAUAGCAUAUUUGUUGUCGUGGAUAGAUUCUCAAAAAUGGCACACUUUAUACCAUGUCAUAAAAGCGUUGAUGCUGUUAAUGUUGUUGAUUUGUUCUUUCGUGAAAUUAUUCGCUUGCAUGGUGUGCCAAAUACUGUUGUUUCAGAUCGUGAUACUAAAUUUCUUAGCCACUUUUGGAGAUGUUUAUGGGCUAAGUUGGGGACUAAACUGCUUUUUAGUACUACUUGUCACCCCCAAACUGAUGGACAAACUGAAGUAGUCAAUAGAACAUUGUCUACUGUGCUUAGGGCUGUUUUGAAGAGUAAUAAGAAAAUAUGGGAGGAAUGCUUGCCUCAUAUUGAAUUUUCUUAUAAUCGUUCAUUGCAUUCUACUACUAAGAUGUGCCCUUUUGAAGUUGUGUAUGGUUUCCUACCUCGUGCACCUAUUGAUUUGUUGCCUCUUCCAUCUUCGGAGAAGGUUAAUUUUGAUGCUAAACAACGUGCUGAAUUGAUUUUUAAAAUGCAUGAAUUAACUAAGGAAAACAUUGAGCGUAUGAAUGCCAAAUAUAAACUUGCUGGAGAUAAGGGUAGAAAACAUGUUGUGUUUCCACCUGGAGAUCUUGUUUGGUUACAUUUGCGUAAGGAUAGAUUUCCUGAUUUGCGCAAAUCAAAGCUCAUGCCACGUGCUGAUGGUCCCUUUAAGGUGUUAGAGAAAAUAAAUGAUAAUGCAUAUAAACUUGAGUUGCCUGUAGAUUUUGGGGUUAGUCCCACUUUUAACAUUGCAGAUUUGAAGCCUUAUUUGGGUGAGGAAGAUGAGCUUCCGUCGAGGACGACUUCAUUUCAAGAAGGGGAGGAUGAUGAGGACAUCAAUACCAUUGUUACACCCACAGCCCCUGCUGCUAUACAUACUGGACCAAUUACUAGAGCUCGCGCACGCCAACUAAAUUACCAGGUACUUUCGUUUCUUGGUAAUGAUUCUAAUGUUUAUGAGAAUAUGAUGGUGCCUAAAUUGGAUACAUUUGUUUUGCUUACAAAUGAAGGGCCUAGCUUGGAGAAGGAUGAACAUUGGAGCAAGAAAAAGCAUAGAGAUGAUGGCAUGCGCAAGGGGAACAAGAACGGAGUUACAAGUGAUGAUUUCAGGUCUUUGAAGCCACCAUAAUGAGUGCAUGAAGCCUUGGACGAAAUAUACAAGAUGUCACUUCAUAAAUUUCGUCCAGAUGCUAUUAUAGGUGCUGCGUCACCUUUUUAUUGGGCCGGGCCCAUGUAAUUUCGAAAUACAUAAGUAUAGGCUAUUUUUAGAGUCCGUAUGUGUGGGGAAACAAGAGAUAGGGUUGAUUUCGGACCCCUCCACCAAGGGCCACGAAAUUCCCCCUCUCUUCCUCCAUAUAUACAGCCCUUAUGGCACCGUUUAGACUUUGGGUUUUGUUUAGAUUAAAGUUCGCCAUAGCUGCAACUUCGCGUACUUCGUUUGUGUUCAACGACCAGACAAAGGCGUCACAAAACCCCACCUUGAUCAAUAAAGCUUUCAUCUUAUAUUCGCAAUAUCCAGAUUGCAGUCUCAGUUUCUUGCUUGUUCUUCAUUUGCUCGCAGGAAACAGACCCUCGUGGUCAGGUUGAUCGUGCUCCGGCGUGGUCAAUAACCUCUCAGAGGUUGUUUAGCGAUUGCUAAGGCGCGAUAUCCUCGCACGUUCGUAGUCGGAUCGUCAAAGUCGACUUCCACCAAAGCGAAAUCCAUCAUCUCAUUGAAAGACGGGACACCUUUGCCUCUAUCAACAACACUGCUGGGGGGAUCCUUGUGGGUCUUAGGUGUGAUUUAUUUGAUAUCGUUGGUUUCGUAGAUAGGAAGUAUUGUGUGGUAGUUACUAUCAAGAACAAAGACGAUGGUUUCCUUUGGCAUUUUGUUGCAGUAUAUGGUAUUGCUUACAAUGAAUACAAGAUCGAGUUCAUUGCUGAGCUACAUGAUGUUAUGUUAAAUCUUACUUAUCCUAUUAUUCUGGGAGGUGACUUUAAUUUGGUUAGAUCUAGUGAAGAUAAGAGUAAUGGUAUUAUUAAUUCUCAAAAUUCUUUCCUAUUUAAUGAUUGGAUUAACAAAUGGGCUUUGUUAGAGAUUGGCAUUGCUAAUAAGAGUUUACGUGGAGCAAUAAUCAGAAUAAUCCUAUCUUUGCUACUAUUGACAGAGUGUUUGUCUCAAUUUCCUGGGACGCCCAUUUUCCGAUGUCUUCUCUAAUGGCUCUUCCCAGGAUAGGGAGCAACCAUACACUACUUAUUUUGGAUACAAAAGCUAGGAGGGUUACCUCCCCUAAACUGUUUUGAUUUGAGAAAUGGUGGUUAGAACAAACUGGUUUUAAAGAUCUAGUCUGUGAGAUCUGGAACUAUGUAGUUCCUGGAAAGUGUGCUUUAGAUAUUUGGAUGAACAAAACUAAGAUGUUCAGAAAAAAGGUGAAAGGAUGGAGCAUCAAUAUUGAGGCUGGUAUGAAAAGAAGGAAAAGAGACCUGACCUUAUAAUUUGACAUCUUAGAUGUCUUCUCCGAGCGUUAUCAACUAGAGGAAAAGGAUAAGACUCGUAUGACAGAGAUCAAGAAUGAAUUAAAUAGUAUUUGGCAUAAAGAAGAGGUUUCCUUGUGGCAACGGUCGAGGGAUCGCAAGAUCAAGGACGGAGAUAAGAACAAUGCCUAUUUUCAAGCUCUAGCUAACCACAGACAUAGGAAGAAAAAUCUCCCGGAGCUGGUUGGUGAGAAUGGCCCAGUCCACUCUACCGAAGAGAUGUUAGAUGUAGCCACUACCUUUUAUAAGGACUUGUUUAGAUAUGAAGAGAAGCAUAAUAUCAAAUUGGGUCCUUCCUUCUGGAAGGAGGAAGAGCUAGUGAUUCGGGAAGAGAAUGACUUAUUACAAAAAGACUUUACUGAAGAGGAGAUUAAAGAAGCCAUUUUUGGUUCCUAUGCCCAUGGGGCCCCUGGCCCAGAUGGGUUAUCCUUCCUAUUCUAUCAAACUUUUUGGGAUGUUAUCAAAACUGAUUUUAUGGCUCUGGUGAAAGACUUUGAAGAAGGCAAACUAGAUCUUUAUCGUCUUAAUUUUGCUUUGAUUGUGCUUAUGCCUAAAGAACCUAAUGCUAAAGAUAUGAAUAAAUUUAGACCUAUUAGUCUGAGUAAUUGUGGAGUAUAAUUUUUUUUCUUGAAAGCUAUGACAAAUAGGGUUUCCCUUAUUAGUCACAGGCUCAUUUCCUUGAAUCAAACAACCUUUAUCAAAGGGAGGUACAUAUUAGAGAGCGUAGUGAUGGCGUAUGAAGUUAUUCAUGAGGUUAAGAGAUCUACCACUCAGGGUCUAGUGCUUAAACUAGACUAUGAGAAGGCAUAUGACAGAGUUAGCUGGGAAUUCUUGUUUGAUAUGUUACAUUCGAUAGGUUUCGGGAACAGGUGUAUUUAUUGGAUUAAAACUACUUUACUUCAAACCACGUUUAGUGUGCGGAUCAAUGAUACAGUGGCCCCUCAUUUUUUAGCUGGGAAAGGGCUCAAACAAGGAGAUCCUCACUCUCCGCUGCUUUUUAACUUGGUUGCUGACGUUUUUUCUAAAAUGCUUCAUAAAGCUGCUAGUCAAGGAUUGAUUUCGGGGCUUCUGCCUCAGGCUAUACCUAGGGGUGUUGUCAGCUUGCAAUACGCUGACGACACCAUCUUGUUUCUAGAAAACUUAGUUGACAAAGCCAGAAAAUUUAAAUGGCUCUUGUCAUGCUUUGAGAAUCUUUCAGGUAUGAAAAACAAUUUCCAUAAGAGUGAUCUUCUUACAAUUAAUGUGGAGGAGGAUGUGCCAAAGGAAUUUGCUCAAAUUUUCUGCUGCAAAUUGGGAGAUUUCCCCAUUAAAUACCUAGGAGUGCCUAUGCACCAUGACAAACUUAAGAGGGAAGACUUACAACCUAUCAUUGAUAGGAUUAUUAAGAAUAUAUCUAGCUGGUUGGGGAGAUACCUUACAUACAAUGGGAAAAUUAUUUUGUUAUGUGCCUGCAUUAUUAGUAUUCCUGCAUACUUGAUGUCCAUGAUCAAAUUCCCCAAGUGGGCCAUUAAUGCUAUUAACUCCCAAAUGGCUCAUUUUUUCUGGGGAGACAUGGAUAAUCAUCAUAAGUAUCACUUGGCUAGUUGGGGUAUGAUUACUAAAAAGAAAGAGUUUGGGGGUCUGGGUGUUCCUAACAUUAGAGAUUUUAACAUGGCUGUUCUGGCCACCUGGCCGAAGAGAUAUUUUGAUGGUAAAAACAGUGAGUGGAAGAAGAUUAUUUCCUAUAAAUAUGAUACUAAUAAACCUAAUAUCCUGUGGUCUAAGAAUGGAGUGGGCUCUACCUUUUGGAAGGGUGCCACUUGGACGUUUGUUGCAGCCAAAACCUUUUACAAAUGGAAAUUAGGAAAUGGAGAGAAUAUCAGCUUCUGGCAUGACACCUGGGUUAGGGAUUAUUCCCUCAAAACCCAAUUCUGGGACUUGUUUAGUAUAUGUAAUCAAAGUGAGUGCUCAGUAGCCCAGGUAUGGGAUGGUGUCACUCUGAUACUGACUUUUAGGAGAUGUGUUGAUGAUGAAGGUUUUAAUAGUUGGAACCGUCUGACAGAGUUGGUUAGUUCACCUCAGUUGAGCGAUGAUUGUGAUGUUCCUAUUUGAACUCUGGAGACAAAUGCGGUUUUCUCUGUUAAAUCUUUUUAUAAGCAAAUUAACUUUGGAGGUGUGGUUUCUUCUGUGGGAGAUAAGCUAUGGAAAGUAACCUGUCCAUAGAAAAUUCAUGUAUUUUUGUGGUUAUGUGUUCAUAACAAAAUUCUUACCCGGGAUAACUUAGCUAAGAGGAGACAUGUGGAAGAUGUAUCCUGCCUUUUUGCUGUGAAAAAGAAACGGUCCAUGUCGUGGAAAUUCAUUAUAUUGAAAGGUCCACUACUCGGUUGGUCGAGUACAAAGCUCUUAACCUUGUGGAUCUGGGUUCAAGCCCCAUGGUGGAGAUUACAUCAUAUGAUGUUAUUAUCAAUGAAUUAUAUACAAAGUCCCAGCUCAGUAUUAUCUUACCGAGCCGGCCCUUGCGGGCUACACGUUGUUGUUCAAGUCUACAUGAUUAUAUCUACAAAGUCUCUGCUCAUUAUUGCAUAAUGACCUGGCCCUUGGGGGCUACACUAGUUGAAGUUUUAUGAUCAUAAGGCAAUUACAAGUCCCAGGUUGCUGCAAGCAUGACAACCCGGAACUUGGGGGCUACAUAUGUGGAAUAUUCAGUUUUGACUAGUGAUUGAGAUGAACAACCUGGAUUUCUUCACGGCUGCAACAUUUAUAUUGAAGCAAGUCUUAAGUUGAUUACUACGCUCCCUUCUUAAGACUUGGGGGCUACAGGUGAUAUGAAUAUAAUAUAUAAUGGAGGACCAUCUUCAAAUUCUCAGUUUUGAGCAAACCAGUUAGAGCAUUGAAGGCCGACUCAAAUGGAUUCUUUUUUGCAAUAUUUCUGCUACAAGCAAAUUGACUAUGAAACUGGACUAUUGACCCGGAUUUUUCAGAAUAAGUGCCCGGAUUUUUUGUAUUGGCAAAGUUUGAACAUAUCUGCUAAAGGAGAUUUGCUAUGAGAUCAUGGACACGUAUCAAGGAGGAAAUGACAAGGACUUAAGGAUGAUCAGGAUCAGUUUAACAUGGAUAAAUCCAAAUUAAACUGGGGGCUAAUGUCGAGGAUAUACCCUGCGGCAUGAACGGGCUGGAAGUAUGACCCGGUCGGACUUAGCGACUCACUAGUGACCCACCCGGACUUGGCGACUCACUGGUGACCCGCCCUGACUUGGCGACUCACUAAGUGACCCGCCAGGAUCUCUCCACUCACUGAUAACCCGGCCGAGCCAGGUGACUUAUUGGUGACCCGGUAGGCGGGUUCGAGGAGCGACAAGACCCGAAGGCUCAGAAGGCACAAGGCCUAGAAGGACGGCUCAUGUUAUGGUGAGCCAACUUAAGAGGAAAGCAUAAAGGAAUAUUCCCUUACAAAGGAAGCAAGACUAGGACUCCACUUGUAAAGAGUAAUCCUAAUCCUACUAGGACUAGUCAUGUAACCCGCCCCUUCAACUUAUAUAAGGAGGGGCAGGGCACCCCAAGAGGGACAAGUUAGACAAGUUAGGGUUAGACAGGCAAGUCUAUAGCUCUCGAGAUAGAGCACCCUUCUAAUCGUGAUCAUCAUCAUCAAUAUCAAUGAAGCAGGAUGUAGGCUUUUACCUCCAUCGUGAGGGGCCGAACCUGGGUAAAAAACCUCGCGUCUCUCGUCCCGCUCAAUCCCUCUCAAGCUACCACAUAGAUGCGUUGGCCUCACGACUAAGUCCUCACACUAGGACAUCUGCCGUGACAAUUCCACGAUAGUCCAUCAUUUACUAUUUGAAUGCGUGGUUGCAAAACAAGUGUGGAAUUUCAUUUCAGAGUGUUUUAGUUACCCUUGCAUUUCUAGCUUUGAAGAUGUUUCUGCCUUGUGGCAGAAUAACAAAAACAUGGUUGUACUUAAUAUGGCAGUGGUUUCCUCCUUGUGGAGUAUUUGGAAACUAAGAAACAAUUUCUGUUUUCAGGGGCGUACCUGGAGAGAUGCCAAUUGUGUCCUUGCAAAACUAAGCUCUCAUCUGAACCAGUGGAAAAUUCUCUACGUCGACACUCAGGCGGAGCUGCUGUUGCGGUGCAUUCGUCUGUUGGACAUGCAUCGUGGAGAACUGCUACGGAUUGCGUUAGUGUGAUUGAGAAGACCAAGAGGCUGGUGUGUGGGCCUAACUAGUUUUAUGCUUAUGCCUAUUUCGCUUGGUAUGUAAUAAAGUGAGGUUGCUGAUACUAGAUAGUUUUAUGUUGGGUGCUAUGACUCCUUGGGAUUGUAACUUUCUAUCUGUUUUUGGCUGAGACGUUUUCGCUUCAUUAAUAAAAUGGGGAGAGGGGGGAACCCCUUUCAUUCAAAAAAAAUCCAACUGUCCACAUGCUUUUAGCCCUCCAACACAG
rnacentral:lncRNA from 1 species